ACCCCUCAAAACAAUAACCUAAAAAUUUAGAACAUAUUUUCAAUAAUAUAAAUAUCAUUCUACCAUAUUGUGCUUUGUGAAAACAUACAGUAAUAACAUAAUUAAAUACAAUAUUUAGAUAUAAACUGUGCAUGAUGAUGAAUUCUUUGUGCGGCUCCUUCUGGUUGUGUGCGCUUUGGCCACCGGAGGGCAGUAUAAUACAGACAUACGGAUAUACACGAAGGAGACGGUCACAGAUGCUCAGUAGGGAGGAGAGUGCUUUGCUGCUCCUCAGAAGCUGUCACGCCAUAGCAUCCCCUCCAAACAACAGAGCCACAAGGACAUCACUCCCCACAAGCUUGGCUUGGAGCUGUGUUGCGUGUGGACAAAGAAGCUCUUGGGAAUGAUAAGGACGGAACAGGAUAUCAUAUAACUUGGCAGCAUGUCCUUGGGCCUAUACAACAGCAAAGGCACUCUUCCAUCCCUUAGUUGUAUAUGUAUAUUUUAAUACAUGUACAAAUAAGCAACUCGAGCGACCUCAAUUUCUAUGAAUAACAAGAUGUGGCUUUGGAAGUGAGCCCUGGCUUCUCUGCGGACACUGCAGUGCAGCUAUAUUGGAACGUCUUCCCCUAAUUCCAGAGUCAAUGGCGAGCUUGUGCGAAGUUUGUGGAACUUGUCCGGAUGCCAAUUGCAACACCCAGCGCCAUCAAUACUGCUCACCUCAGCGAGGACUCCCCCGCUUUCUCUUUUGUUUUCUUACAAACAAACCCCGGGCGUGUUAGUUUGAGUAAAUAAUAAUCAAAAUGAUUGUAUAUUAGGAAUGUACGUGUAAAUAAGUCUCCAAUAACACAACAAUAAGUCGCUAGAUUUGCUGCGAGUCACUUUUUGAAGUUGAUGCCAGAGGGCUUGGAAAAGGCACCUUUUCACACUGCACUGAGCACAGCGCAUUGCACCGUGAACCAACCCAUUCAUUUUGUAUGUGCUUCAAUGUAGUGCUGCAUAGGCUGGUGGCGCACGAGGUGGCAGUGACAACAUCUCAGCGCAUCCAGUAGGAGAGAUGGUGUCAGAAUGUCAUACAGUAAAUUGAUAAAGAAGGCAGGGCAAUGGAUGAAGAUCUUCACUACUUUGAAUUAUAGAAAUGUGUGGUUUUAGCAUUUUUAAUGAUAAAAAUGUUUGCUUUGUCAUGUGCUUCGCUUGCUCCUUAUUAUAAGCAAAGACAGGGCCUUCCGUUGUCACAGUAACAAACACAUAUUGCCGAGCUGCAUCCAAAGCCAAACCAGUAGGAAAAGGCACUAGGCUCCUUUCUGUCUGGUCGCUUGGCAACCACAGUCAAAUAUGGGCAAGCCUGUGGCGUGGCCACUGCAAAAACCAAGUGCAGUGUGCAAGCACCUCAAGUUGGCAAAAAUGAGUAGCCGCUCGCUUCGCCGCAACACCCCGGCUUCACAACCCUGGUCACCGUAACAAAAGCAGUACUUUGCAUUUGGAAGAUACAGAACCGCCAUCCCAAAACUGUGUGAUUUACACCAGAAAAAAAAUGCAAUUGCUACAAUAAUGGUGGUGUUUUGAACGCAAUUUAGUCCUUCACAAAAACAGAUCACAAUGUGAAUUAAUUUAUCAUGAAUGUUUAUUAACCCGGCAGGCAAUGUACAAUUUUACAUUUUAAACCACCAUACAAGUGUAAAAAUAAGUUACCCACUGUAUAAUGAAAACAAACAACUGUUAAAAGUAACCUUUGUUCAAUGUGUCGGAAAGACACCUAAUGGAAGGGGAACAAGGUAUAAUUAGCAUUUAAUACAUACAUGUAUCAUGUAUACCUAUUAUUGGAAUUUACUAAAUUAAUGUGUUAAUAAUUGAUAAUAAUUGGAUUUUAUACAUACAUGUGUUACUCCAAAUGUAAUUAAUUCAUAAUACAUUCGAUGCAUUUUUUUGAUAGCUUAUUUAUUUAGUUAGUUUGGCACUUUUGGAUUUGGAUUUGGACCUCGACAAGAGGGCAGUGCUGAAUAGGUAUUGAAAAAAGAGAUGCUGCUUUUAAUGUCUCCGCUUGAUUUAAUUUUGACUAGCGAGGUAGCGAAUACUUUACGUUUUCUUGUUUUAUUUUGACUUUGGUGUCCAUCCAUGUUUGAACCCAUUCACAAAUUGACUCACACGCUAAAUCCACGUUACGGAGGGACACGAGAAGCAGUCAAACUAUGAGAUUAUGUUUCCAUUACAAUAAUUUUAAAUUUAUUCAAUUGUUACUCGUGACCUCUGGAAUGUUUCGGGUUUUUUUUGUUUCAGUUUAUUUAUCCGUGUUAAUUUUUGUUUAUGCAACAUGUAACGUGUAUUAUGAUAAUGUUUGUUAAAACUUUUAAAUAAAGAUUGGAGGAGGACUAAAAGUCCUGAACGCAA